rnacentral:rRNA from 1 species
CUGACUGUGCUAAGGUAGCAUAAUCAUUUGUUAUCUAAAUGAUAACUAGUAUGAAUGGUCUGACGAGAAAAUAACUUUCUAAAAAGAAAAGAUGAAAAUUUAUUUUAAAGUAAAAAAGCUUUAUAACUUUAGAAAGACGAGAAGACCCUAGAACCUUUUCUAUCUGUAUAGUUUGUUGGGGUGACAUUAUUCAAAACAAAUAACUAUUAAAACUUAUUGAUUGAUUCUAUCUAUCUUUAUUAAAAAAAAAAAAGGUACUCUAGGGAUAACAGCAUAAUCUUCUUCUAGAGCCCUAAUCGACAAGAAAGAUUUUGACCUCGAUGUUGAAUUGAUAUUUCUUUCUAAAGCAGAAUU